CCUUGUAGCGGGGGAUAACUAUUGGAAACGAUAGCUAAUACCGCAUAACAAUGGAUGACACAUGUCACUUUAUUUUGAAAGGAAGCAAUUGCUCCACUACAGAUGGACCUGCGGUUGUAUUAGCUAGUAGGUGAGGUAAUGGCUCACCUAGGCGACGAUACAUAGCCGACCUGAGAGGGUGAUCGGCCACACUGGGACUGAGACACGGCCCAGACUCCUACGGGAGGCAGCAUG
rnacentral:rRNA from 1 species